GUGUCCCCGAAUCGUCGACGAUUCGAUGCUUCAAUUCGAGGAGCCUGAUUCGACUCCCAAUCUCACAGUCGAAUAUUCGCGGGGUGUUAUGAUCAUACCAUUUUGGCUAUAUGGGGGUGCUCAGUGUCUGAUUUCACAUCGAACUACCGGUUUUCUCCCAAUAAGUUAAUAUACAGCCUAUUAUGAUAAUGCUGUAAAUAAGAAUCUUAAAAGAAAGAAGCUUUAAAUAAAUAUUUUAACGUGCGUGAAUAAAUCCAACCACCCCUAUAGAUUAAAGUUUCGCUUUCUAAUCCGUCACCGACAGAGGAGCAGUUUGGCGGCUGGGAUUUAAAUCUUUAACAAGACUCAAACAGGCAGAGUGGAAGACUUUGUUUUUUUUCUCGAUCAGCUGAGGAAACAACUUUCAAACCUGUGUUGAAUCCAUCAGGGCAAGCUUUAAUCUGGUCGUUCCAUUCCACAUUGUUGGAUCCACGGACAACAAUGUUUCUGGUUUUGGCGAUGAUCUAUACCUGUGCCCUGUGGAAGCGAUGACAAUUUCAUCACCAGUCUUCCAGUACAUACCAUGCAGAUCCAGAACCCCCUCUCUGACAGCCAGGGUCUUGGUGCCAUAGACAGGAAGUUCUGUAGAACGCAAGUGUCCAUGCAGUGUGAUGAUGGCCUUAUGCUGGAAGGGGGCCUGCUCUGUUCCGAUCUGCAGAGCUCCACCAUCUGUGAUCAGAAUAUUCUCCGCCUGCAGCUCAAUGUCUGCCUCAUCAAAAAUCAGUCGGCCGCCUAAAUAGAAAACAGGCAUUCACAGAACUGAGGAUGGUCUGGCCAGCAGUGAUUACAGCAAACAUGCCCUCCUCAGGAGGGGAGAGACCACCCCAUGUAUAGGGAGACGACCACACGUCAAUGUAGAAGAAGGAAGCGUUACCCUAAGAGAGAGGAGUGUCAUUCCAAGCAGAUAAAUCAAUUUUAAUAAUUAUUAUUAUAAUUAUUCUAGUAAUAAUAGUAAUUACGCCAUGUUUACCAUUCGGGCAAUUCCUCUGUUCCCCAGCUGAACGCGCACUUGAGUUUCUUGGGAUCUGGGCUGAGCGUUGGUCACACAGAUGAUUUGCGACUCACUGGCAGACUGGACAUCGCAAACAGAUCCCGCAAUUGUAAUAGAGACUUCACUGACAUUUGAGCUACAGAAGAAAAUCAGUCAAAGGGCUUUGAAUCAACAUGAGGAACAGAGCAUUCCACAUCUCCAGUCUUUACAGUGACGUUUCCACCAUCAAAACCAGAUCCAGUUAUGGUAAGAACUGUUCCCAGACCGCUGGAUCCUGAACGACAAGUUAUGAGAAAUCCCGGUCACUUUUGGGGUCUUUGACUCACUCCAGGUGAAACCACAAUCUCCUGAACACCACGAUGGGAUACCGUUGAUGAAAACUUCCAC